CAAACAUGUUGACUACUUUAAUACACAAAUGAAUUUGUCCCAAUACUUUUGGUCCCCUUAACCCCCUCCCCCCCCUCGCCAUUUAUGUACAAAAAUGGUUGUAGUUUCUAAACCGUUCACACAAUAUAGAUGAAAAUACCCUCAAUAAAGUUGAGAAUGCACUUUUCAAAUCCAACGUCCUGGAGUGUAGAGUCAAAACGAAUACUUCUGGAGCUCACUGUAGGUGUGUGUGUCCAGGUACAGGAGAGAGUGGUGCUAACAGUGGUUGUUCUAUGUGUGUGUCUGGUACAGGAGAGAGUGGUGCUAACAGUGGUUGUUCUAUGUGUGUGUCUGGUACAGGAGAGAGUGGUGCUAACAGUGGUUGUUCUAUGUGUGUGUCCAGGUACAGGAGAGAGUGGUGCUAACAGUGGUUGUUCUAUGUGUGUGUCUGGUACAGGAGAGAGUGGUGCUAACAGUGGUUGUUCUAUGUGUGUGUCCAGGUACAGGAGAGAGUGGUGCUAACAGUGGUUGUUCUAUGUGUGUGUCCAGGUAUAGGAGAGAGUGGUGCUAACAGUGGUUGUUCUAUGUGUGUGUCCAGGUACAGGAGAGAGUGGUGCUAACAGUGGUUGUUCUAUGUGUGUGUCCAGGUACAGGAGAGAGUGGUGCUAACAGUGGUUGUUCUAUGUGUGUGUCCAGGUACAGGAGAGAGUGGUGCUAACAGUGGUUGUUCUAUGUGUGUGUCCAGGUACAGGAGAGAGUGGUGCUAACAGUGGUUGUUCUAUGUGUGUGUCCAGGUACAGGAGAGAGUGGUGCUAACAGUGGUUGUUCUAUGUGUGUGUCCAGGUACAGGAGAGAGUGGUGCUAACAGUGGUUGUUCUAUGUGUGUGUCCAGGUACAGGAGAGAGUGGUGCUAACAGUGGUUGUUCUAUGUGUGUGUCCA